rnacentral:lncRNA from 1 species
AAAUUUAUGAAUGUAGCAAGUGUUUGAGUUCUGGAAACUAUCUUACAGGACCCCUGGAGCAUAUUUUCUUUAAUACUGGGUUGGUGUCACUUGAUGUUCAAGCAGCUCAACCUCAGGUGACAAUGAUUGCUUUAUGGAGGCUGGUUUUAACGGUCUCUCAGAAAAGUUUCCUCUGCUUGAUAAGAGGAGAUUUGAUGUUAGUGUGUGAUAGUAACAUUGCUUUUCUGGUUAUAUACUGCUUGUCUGCCAAAGAUAUAUUGAUUAGGUUGUCAGGAAUAUGAUACCUCUGUGUAUUUUUUCUGUUGAAUGAUUGGUAGAAUGCAUUUGAUUAUCAUUGUAAAAUGAAUGUUAUUAUAUCUAUAUUCUCCAUCUAAAUUGCAGGUAUGCAUGGACGAUCACCAACUGUGCUGUUUGUGGAUCAAACAUGGGCUGGUUUUUGCAGCUACAGAAAGGAUCUGCUACCCAAGUCUUGGGGAUCCUUAGUUAUGGAUGAUGCAUAAUGAGAACUGAGACAAGGAAGAAAGGAAAGUUUUUUUUUUUCCCUUGCUUUCUAGCCAAAAGUAGUCCGUAUAUAAGGGCAUUUUAAUUACCAAGAAGAGGCUAUAUGCAUAUUCAAGCAUGGUGUUUUAGCUGCACAUGUCAUUAGUGUUUAGCGUAUCUACCUCUGAUGAAAAUGUGUUAUGUGUCUGAAUGCUUUGUGAUAUCACCCAAGAGUACAUUUUGUUGUUAUGAUAAGCUCAUUAGAGAUUUGGUUGUC